CGUCCAAUUUUACUUUCUCGAUCUAUCUUUAAAUCUCAAUCGAUUUGAUUCAUGGGCUGGAUGUGCUCUAGCAAUAACAAGUCAAAUUGAUCAAUCUUCUUCAACUAAUUGAGAAGCAAAGGAUAUCUUCGUGAAACCGAUCGUGAAAAUCUUGGGAAAAAAGCAUUGGAACUUUGUUUUAGUAUUUACGAGAGUCGAAUUGCAGAGGCGGAAGGAAAUCAUCAGGACUUAAAGUCAAUUGAAGCCAAUUUAAGGGAAAUAUGUAAUAAAUUGAUGGAAUAUCCUUUCUACGAACAUUCUGCUAAAAAAUUCCUCGAAAAACAUGACAAUCGCGUUGAAUGUAUAACAAUUGAUUAAUCACUAACUUUAAUGACGAAUAUCUUUCCUUAUAAAGUUUUUUAAAUUCGCAAAAAUCUUUACUGAUUAUGAACGAAACUAAUGCAAUUUUACAUAGAAAUUGGAUGAUUUGAAUAAAUUUGGAUCAAUUUUCUUUAUUAUUAAUAUA